CCUACGGGGAGCAGCAGUGGGGAAUAUUGCGCAAUGGGCGAAAGCCUGACGCAGCGACGCCGCGUGAGGGAUGAAGGUCUUCGGAUCGUAAACCUCUGUCAGCAGGGAAGAAGGGUCACUGGGAUAAUCAUCAGUGAAUUGACGGUACCUGCAGAGGAAGCACCGGCUAACUCCGUGCCAGCAGCCGCGGUAAUACGGAGGGUGAGAGCGUUAAUCGGAAUUACUGGGCGUAAAGCGCUCGUAGGCGGUAUGUCAAGUCAAGGGUGAAAUCCCCGCGCUCACCGUGGGAACUUCCUCUUAAACUGGCAAACUGGAGUGUGUGAGAGGAGAGUGGAAUUCCAGGUGUAGGAGUGAAAUCCGUAGAGAUCUGGAGGAAUAUCAGUGGCGAAGGCGACUAUCUGGAACAUAACUGACGCUGAGGAGCGAAAGCGUGGGUAGCAAACAGGAUUAGAUACCCCUGUAGUC
rnacentral:rRNA from 1 species